rnacentral:rRNA from 1 species
UACAGAGGGGGCAAGCGUUGUUCGGAAUUACUGGGCGUAAAGGGCGCGUAGGCGGCCUUCUAAGUCGAACGUGAAAUCCCCGGGCUCAACCCGGGAACUGCGUCCGAUACUGGGAGGCUUGAAUCCGGGAGAGGGAUGUGGAAUUCCAGGUGUAGCGGUGAAAUGCGUAGAUAUCUGGAGGAACACCGGUGGCGAAGGCGGCAUCCUGGACCGACAUUGACGCUGAGGAGCGAAAGCUAGGGGAGCAAACAGG